rnacentral:rRNA from 1 species
UACGUAGGGUGCAAGCGUUAAUCGGAAUUACUGGGCGUAAAGCGUGCGCAGGCGGUUAUAUAAGACAGUUGUGAAAUCCCCGGGCUCAACCUGGGAACUGCAUCUGUGACUGUAUAGCUAGAGUACGGUAGAGGGGGAUGGAAUUCCGCGUGUAGCAGUGAAAUGCGUAGAUAUGCGGAGGAACACCGAUGGCGAAGGCAAUCCCCUGGACCUGUACUGACGCUCAUGCACGAAAGCGUGGGAAGCAAACAGG